CCAAACCGUUUAGUUAAGGCAUUUUUUAACAGCAACCAAAUAUCUUGUUUUCCAUAACAAAAUAUUUAGUUACUUCUGCUAAAUACACUUUUCUGAUUUGUUCUGUGGACCAAAUGAUUUUGUUCUUAGACCUCACAUACAACAAUUAAGCAUUUUAGUUACUUUACCCGCAGAAACUACAUAAUAAUGAAAUCUUCUGUUACAUAAGUUAAAAUAAUGCCCAAUAAGUACAAUUUCGUCUUUCUAUGCAUUAAAAUUUAGAUUUUAUACACUAUUUUAUAUAUUAACAAAACAUUAUAGUAGUUUUAACAAAACUGCCUUGUUCUUCUAGCCAAAUGAUUUGGUAUAUUUUAUACACAAGAGCGCCGUGUAGGUACGUGCUGCUGGAAACAAACGGUAUCAGAUGUGGUUAGCCCGCGUUUCUGCAUGCCAUUUUGUUUUUCUUCUGGCUCUGCGUGAUGCCUAUUGUUGUGAGACUUAUAAGUGAGACUUAUUGUUGUGAGAUUCAUAACUUCAUGUACGUGCAGUGAGAUCGUUUCGUGUUUAAUGAAAACAUCUUCGUAAGUAUGAGUUUCAUGAUAAUUACUGGAUGCAUGUGACAUUAUCGGUAUAUCCAAAAGAGUUUAUACCGUGUCCUUUGUGAAAUUGUUUCUGUUUGAAAAAUAGUGCGCUCGUGAAGCAAUCCCGGAUAGCGACAGCGACAGCGACGCGGCGAGGGGGGCCGCGAGCCCGCGCGAUCGUCUUUCGUUUUACCGGCUCGAUCGAGACACGAUUCUCGCGCGUAAAAUUGCGGAGUCGGUCGGAACACGCAAAAGCGACAACACGCGAGAUCUGGUCUCUGCUUUCUUUAUUCGAGCUUGCGAUAUCUUAUAUCAGUCGAUACAGUGAUCUUUCGUUUCUAAGUACAUUCGGCAGUACGAUUAAGAACGUUGUUUAAUAGUUACGGUGAUUAACGUAUACGGUAAUUAACGUAUACGGUGCGCGACAUUCGUCGAGCGAACUUAGUGCGGGCCAGCGAGGCUGAGCGAGGCCUCGGCGUUGCAGCCCCACGUCGGGCACCAGCAUCUAGGAGACAGGACCUUCCUCGGUGACGGACUCGGACAGAGCAUCCCGUGCUAGGAUCCCUUGUCGUCAUCGUCCUUGACGAUCUGGCAACGAACGGUUGUUCUUCUGCGAUACAAACCUGGAAGGUGAACUGAGCGUUGUGUGCCUUUUUCCGUAUUAUUCUGAUUUUUUCAACUGUAUGCAACGUAGCAUAAAAUGAGCGACGAAGAAUUUAUUACUAAAACAUUAAAAGAAUGGGGUCUGGAAAAGUGGACAUCAAAAUUUUUGGACCAAGAAAUAAGCCCUUCAUUAUUGUUAAGUAUUUCGGAACAAACAUUAUUUGAAUUAAUACCUACCGUUGGUGCAAGAUGUGUUUUUAUAGAGAAAAGGAAACAGUUUUUAAAAGAACAGUCAACAAAGGUUAGAAGGAAUAAAAUUAAUAAUAAAGAUAAUAGUAUGUGUAAUUACUAAGGUAUGUCAGUUUAGAGCAACUUUUUUUUUAUUUCACAAAUAGCAUAUAUACUUGCAGGAAGGUAAA